rnacentral:rRNA from 1 species
UACGUAGGGGGCAAGCGUUGUCCGGAUUUAUUGGGCGUAAAGCGCGUGUAGGCGGCCAGAUAGGUCUGCUGUGAAAACUCGAGGCUCAACCUCGAGCUGUCGGCGGAAACCAUCUGGCUAGAGUCCGGAAGAGGAGAGUGGAAUUCCUGGUGUAGCGGUGAAAUGCGCAGAUAUCAGGAAGAACACCUCUGGCGAAGGCAGCUCUCUGGGACGGUACUGACGCUGAGACGCGAAAGCGUGGGGAGCGAACAGG